AAUUCGCCCUUAGAGUUUGAUCAUGGCUCAGAUUGAACGCUGGCGGCAUGCCUUACACAUGCAAGUCGAACGGCAGCAUAGGAGCUUGCUCCUGAUGGCGAGUGGCGAACGGGUGAGUAAUAUAUCGGAACGUGCCCUAGAGUGGGGGAUAACUAGUCGAAAGACUAGCUAAUACCGCAUACGAUCUACGGAUGAAAGUGGGGGAUCGCAAGACCUCAUGCUCCUGGAGCGGCCGAUAUCUGAUUAGCUAGUUGGUGGGGUAAAAGCCUACCAAGGCAACGAUCAGUAGCUGGUCUGAGAGGACGACCAGCCACACUGGGACUGAGACACGGCCCAGACUCCUACGGGAGGCAGCAGUGGGGAAUUUUGGACAAUGGGGGCAACCCUGAUCCAGCAAUGCCGCGUGAGUGAAGAAGGCCUUCGGGUUGUAAAGCUCUUUU
rnacentral:rRNA from 1 species